CACGGGUCUCAUGGGUGACUGGGAAUGGGAGGGGAAGGAAGAAGCUCUUCUUUUGUGGAAUCUGAUCACAGGGAACCCUCUCCCGCCCGGGGCUCAGAAUCUGAUCACAGGGAACCCUUUCCCGCCUGGGGCUCAGAAUCUGAUCACAGGGAACGCUCUCCCGCCCGAGGCUCAGAAUCUGAUCACAGGGAACCCUCUCCCACCUGGAGCUCAAGAUGGUUUCCUGCAGACCUGGAAUUAAACGUCAGGCUCCUGCCUGAGUCGCCGGGACCCCCAGCCUGGCUGACCUCUUCUUGCUCUGCUGAGCUCUCUGCAUGCCCCCAAGGCCCUCUCCGCCUCUGGCUCAGCCCUUAGGAAGCCCUGGCAGAGAAGCCCAGGAUGGGAGAGGCAAAAUGGGGAGGAUGAGGUUUGCAUUACCUGUAAUCCUGGCCAGGCCACAGUACCUAAGUGCUCAAACAUGAGCCCAGGUGUAGCUGGGAAGGUGUCCUGCAGAGGAGCUCAAUAUCCACAAUCAGAUGAUCUGAAGGAGAUUAGCCUCGAUUUUUCUGGGAGGGACUCAUCCCUUCAAAGGAAGCCCUUAAGAGUGAAAACCGAGGUUUCACUGAGAACACCUGCCUCAAGACGGUGACGUGCCCUACUGCGUGUCUCCUGCCUGCCGCCUGCCCUGCAGGUUUUGAACCCCCAUGAUUGCGGGAUCCAAUGCCUUAAAAUAAAUCUCUAAACAUAUAUCCGUCUAGGUAAACCGCCUGUUGUCUAAACAUAUAUCCGUGUAUGUAAACCGCCUGUUGUCUAAACAUAUAUCCGUGUAUGUAAACCGCCUGUUGUCUAAACAUAUAUCCGUGUAUGUAAACCGCCUGUUGUCUAAACAUAUAUCCGUGUAUGUAAACCGCCUGUUGUCUAAACAUAUAUCCGUGUAUGUAAACCGCCUGUUGUCUAAACAUAUAUCCGUGUAUGUAAACCGCCUGUUGUUGUCUAAACGUAUAUCCGUGUAUGUAAACCGCCUGUUCUCUAAACAUAUAUAUGUG
rnacentral:lncRNA from 1 species